UUGUCGUAAACGUGUUCGAACAACUUCAUGUGGAUAUGCAAUGCCGGCUGCCAUAAAUUUAGCAAUUCCAGCUCCUCCAAGCUUCCCACCCCAAUCUAAAACUUUGUCAUAAAUAGUUUCUUGAAUACCAAGUUCUUUUCGACGAAGUUGUCGAAUAGCGACAGCGUGCUUGAAUUUUUCGUAUAGAACCCACUGGAGAGUACUUUCACCGACUCCUAGUAAACUGGCAGAUAAACCUUUAUAUAAUCCUCGGAAUCCUUCAAGCCUUAUUGUUUUUAUGAUGCAAUCAAUCGAAGAACGAUACUGAGCAGCUUGUCCACUUUUUUUAUCUAAUUGUAAUCGUGUUUUUACUAACCAUAUUGGAUUAGUCGCAGCA